rnacentral:lncRNA from 1 species
AAGCAACCCAGAGCCCUCCUCCCGCCUGCUCUGUGUAGGAGACAGCCUGCGGAGCCCACUGCCGGCGCGCAGAGAGCCCAGCAGCUCUUGAGUCCAGGAAGCAAGGGUGGGAGGAGGGACGAGCCAGUGGCAAUGACCCAGACCCGGACGACCCCCAUUGCUGAGCCAGCGGAGCUGCUUGAGACGGGGUUUUUCUCCAUGUUGGUCAUGUGUCCGGAAUUGAUGGGUUCUUGGUCUCACUGACUUCGAGAAUGAAGCGCGGACCCUCACGGAGGCAGAGGUUGCAGUGAGCUGAGAUUUUGCGACUACACUCCAACCUGGGCAACAGAGCGGGACUCCAUUCCAAAAAAAUAAGAAAAACAGAAAAAUAAUAAUUACAUCUGCAAAGACCUUAUUUCCAGCAGGCAAGAAGAAUCUGUUGGAUGAUUACAACAUUGCUGGAUUGAUAGCAGCCUCACCUGCCAGGCUCAAACUCCAGAUCCAAAGUCCACAAAUAUAUCAUAAAUCUGAAGAGGAACUGGGAGAAGCUUCUGCUGGCAGCUCAUGCCAUUGUUGCCAUUGAAAACCCUGCUGAUGUGUCAUAUCCUGCAGGAAUACUAGCUAGUGGGCUGUGCUGAAGUUUGCUGCUGCUGCUGGAGCCACAUGUAUUGCUGGUCACUUCACUUCUGGAACCUUUGCUAACCAGAUCCAAUCAUCUUCUGCCACCCACAUCUUCUGGUGGUUACUGAUUCUAGGGCUAACUAUCAGCCUCUCUCAGGGGCUUCUUAUGGUAACCUACCUACCUACCACUGCUGUAUGUAACAGAUUCUCCUCUGAGCUAUGUGGAUAUUGUCAUCCCAUGCAACAACAAGGAAGCUCAAUCACUGAGUCUAAUGUAGUGGAUGCUGGCCCAGGAAGCUCUGUGCAUGUGUUGCACCAUCUCCCAUGAUCAUGCCUGAUCUCUACUUCUAUAGAGAUCCUGAAGAGAUUGAAAAGGAAGAGUAGGCUGCAGCUGAAAAAGGAGGAAUUUCAAAGUGAAUGGACUGCUGUAGUGCAAGUUUACUGCUACUCAAUCUGAGGUUGCAGACUGGUUUAAAGACAUGCAGGUGCCCUCUGUGCCUAUUCAGCAGUUCCCUACUGAAGAUUGGAGCACUUAGCCUACCAUGAAUGACUGGUCUGCAACUUCCACUGCUCAGACCACUGAAUGGGUAAGAAUAACCACUGAGUGGCCUUAAGCUGUUCUUCCACAAGCUCUUAAACAAGAUGGAAAUAACGCUGAUGGAAAUAAACAACAGUUUCCAAGAAAACACGAACAGCUGAAGUGGCAAUGUUUAAGUAACAUCUGGUAGACUUUAACAUGAAUGUUAUUAAGCAGGAAAUUAUGAUCUUUUAAGUUGGAACAUGUAAUGUUAAUCCUUUUGCACCAAAAUAUCUCUUUAAGUCUAAAUUAUCCACUUUUUUUUUUAAUUCUUCGUAGAGAUAGAGGUUUCGCUUUGUUGCCCAGGCUGUUCUUGACUUCCUAACUUCAAGCAAUCCUUCUGCCUCAGCCUCCCAGAGUGCUGGGAUUAUAGGCAUUUGCCACCGUGCCUGGUGUACCCAGUUUCUGUUAUCAACAGAAUGCAGUGGUGUAUGGUUGCUAAAGGGUCCCAAGAUCAGGACCUACGUUAAGGUGGAUUUUGAAUUAUUUAAAAUUCUGAUUUUGUUUUAUUUUUAAUUAAUCUUUGGGGGAAGGAUGGGAGGGGGGUGAGGGUUGAAGAAGUAAACAUUGUACCUAUUGGAUACAAUGUUUAAUAUUUGUGUGAUGGGCACACUGGAAGCCCAAACCUCACUAUUACACAAUACAUUCAUGUAACAAGCCUGCACAUGCACCUCCUGAAUCUAUUUUUAAAAAUUUAAUUCUCUAGCACAGACUCCCUUUUUUUGGUAAGAUGGCGGGGUACGACUUAACUACUCGCAUCACGCACCUUUUGGAUCGGCAUCUAGUCUUUCCGCUCCUUGAGUUUCUCUCUGUAAAGGAGAUAUAUAAAGAAAAGGAAUUAUUACAAGGUAAAUUGGACCUUCUUAGUGAUGCCAACAUGGUAGACUUUGCUAUGGAUGCAUACAAAAACCUUUAUUCUGAUGAUAUUCCUCAUGCUUUGAAAGAGAAUAGAACCACAGUUGUUGCACAACUGAAACAGCUUCAGGCAGAAACAGAACUAAUUGUGAAAAUGUUUGAAGAUCCAGAAACGACAAGGCAAAUGCGGUCAACCAGGGAUGGUAGGAUGCUCUUUGACUACCUGGCGGACAAGCAUGGUUUUAGGCAGGAGUAUUUAGAUACAUUCUACACAUAUGCAAAAUUCCAGUAUGAAUGUGGGAAUUACUCAGGAGCAGCAGAAUAUCUUUAUUUUUUCAGAGUGUUGGUUCCAGCAACAGACAGAAAUGCUGUAAGUUCACUCUGGGGAAAGCUGGCCUCUGAAAUCUUAAAGCAGAAUUGGGAUGCAGACAUGGAAGACCUUACAUGGUUAAAAGAGACCAUAGAUAAUAAUUCUGUGAGUUCUCCACUCCAGUCUCUUCAGCAGAGAGCAUGGCUCGUUCACUGGUCUCUGUUUUCUUCAAUCACCCCAAAGGUUGUGAUAAUAUUGUUGAUCUCUUCCUUUACCAGCCACAGCAUCUUAAUGUGUCCACACAUUCUUCACUAUUUGACUACAGCAGUCAUAGCAAACAAGGAUGUUCGAAAACGUUGGCAGGUGCUAAAAGAUCUAGGUAAAGUUACUCAACAGGAGUCUUACACAUAUAAAGACCCAAUUACAGAAUUUGUUGAAUGCUUAUAGAUUAACUUUGACUUAGAUGGGGCUAAGAAAAAGCUGAGAGAAUGUGAAUCAGUGCUUGUGAACGACUUCUUGGUGGCUUGUCUUAAGGAUUUCAUUGACAAUGCCCAUCUCUUCAUAUUUGAGACUUUCUGUCACAUCCACCAGUGUAUCAGCAUUAACAUGUUGGCAGACAAAUUGAACAUGACUCCAGAUGAAACUGAAAGGUGGAUUGUAAAUGUGAUUAGAAAUGCAAGACUGGAUGCCAAGAUUGAUUCUAAAUUAGGUCAUGUGGUUAUGGUAACAAUGUACUCUCACCCUAUCAGCAAGUGAUUGAAAAGACCAAAAGCCUUUCUUUUAGAAGCUAGAUUUUGGCCAUGAAUAUUGAGAAGAAACUUAAUGACAAUAGCAGGUCAGAGGCUCCUAACUGGGCAACUCAAGAUUCUGGCUUCUACUGAAGAAACAUAAGGAAAAGAUUUUAAAAAAACUCUAAAAGAAAGAUGAAAUAAUAAAACUAUUAUAUAAAGGGUGACUUACAUUUUGGAAACAACAUAUUGAGUGUAAAUUGUGAAGAAUUGGAAUAAAAUUGACUGAUUCAAAAAAAUUUAAUUCACAAAAAAAUUUUAAUCCUUUUAAGCUAAUUAUAGAUUCACAUGUAGUUGUAAGAAGUUACAAAGAGGCUAGGUGCAGUAGCUGACGCCCAUGAUCCCCGCACUUUGGGAGGCCGAGGCAGGCAGAUCUCUUGAGGCCAGGAGUUUGAGACUAGCCUGGCCAACAUGGCAAAACCCCAUCUCUACAAAAAAUUAGCAAAGCAUGGUGGCACAUGCCUGUAAUUACAGCUACUUGGGAGGCUGAGGCAUGAGAAUCACUUGACCUGGGAUUACAAGUGUAAUCCCAGCCAUAGGCUGGGUGCAGUGGCUCACACCUGUAAUCCCAGCACUUUGGGAGGCCAAGGUACGGGUGGAUCACCUGAGGUCAAGAGUUCAAGACCAGCCUGGCCAACAUGGUGAAACCCCGUCUCUACAAAAACACAAAAAUUAGCCGGGCAUGAUGGUGCGCACCUGUAAUCCCAGCUACUCAGGAGGCUGAGGCAGGAGAAUCGCAUGAACCCAGGAGGCAGAUGUUGCAGUGAGCCAAGAUCACGCCAUUGCACUCCAGCCUGGGCAACAGAGUGAGACUCCACCUCAAAAAAAAAAAAACAAAAAAAAACCACCAGCCAUUUGGGAAGCCAAGGCAGGAUUGCUUGAGACCAACCAGAAGUUCAAGGUUGCCUGGGCAACAGAGCAAGACUGUCUCGAGACAAAACAAAAAGUCAGCAUCUUCUGCCCACUUUUACUUUAACAUACAUUUAUGGAUCUAUUGUCUCUUUCCCUGUUCUAAAACUUUAAAUUUCACAAGAAUGAAGAUUUUGCUGUCUUGUUUCCUGCUGUGUCCCCAGCAUAAACAGCAUAAAGAAGUGCCAUAAGAUAGAAAUUUUUGUUUUCUGUUCACCAGUAUAUCCACAGCACCUAGAACAGCAUCUGCUUUAGACUUAUUAGAUGAAGACUUAAAAAAAAAAGGAACAGCACUUCUGCACAUAUUUAGCACUUGAUACAUAUUUGUGGAAUAAUUUCUAUCAUAACUAGCAGCUACUUCCUAAUUUGAUAUGUAGCAUCCCGUAUUAACAGGACUUUUGUGAAUGGAGAGGACAUCUAUUUAUUCUUUGUUAUGUGCCAAAUAUAUUUGUAUUAAUCAUAACUCUUAAUAUUCCUUUAAAAUUAAAUAAUUGUUUCCACAGCUCUUAAAAUAGAAUUUAGGAACCUAGCAACAUGCCACUCAUCCAUUAACAGUGAUAAAUUAUUUAAUUUUAUAAACUUUUCAUUAAAGUAACUGAUAUAGUUUGGA